CACACGCGGACCUUGGCUUCGCAGCCGUCCGGUGGCUCAUUCCGACCGCGAGGAAGGAGAGAGCUCACGGGUCCGCGGCGGCUCAACCGGAGAAGAAAAUGG
rnacentral:sRNA from 1 species